rnacentral:rRNA from 1 species
GACGGAGGGUGCAAGCGUUGCUCGGAAUCACUGGGCGUAAAGGGUGCGUAGGCGGUCUCGCAAGUCUGGCGUGAAAUCCCUAGGCUCAACCUAGGAACUGCACUCGAAACUGUUCAUCUUGAGUGCCGGAGAGGAAAGCGGAAUUCCUGGUGUAGAGGUGAAAUUCGUAGAUAUCAGGAGGAACACCAGUGGCGAAGGCGGCUUUCUGGACGGUAACUGACGCUGAGACGCGAAAGCGUGGGGAGCAAACAGG